GCUAACUUAGGGCCAGCGGCGGUGGUAAGAGGAAGGAUGCAAGCGGUAUCCGGAGUCAUUGGGUUUAAAGUGUGCGUAGGCGGACGUGUAAGUCAGUGGUGAAAUCUCUUUGCUUAACAAAGAAACUGCCAUUGAUACUGCUAGUCUAGAGUAUAGAUGACGUUGGCGGAAUAUGACAUGUAGUGGUGAAAUACUUAGAUAUGUCAUAGAACAUCGAUUGCGAAGGCAGCUGACUGGACCUGAAUUGACGCUGAGGCACGAAAGCGUGGGGAGCGAACAGGAUUAGAUACCCGAGUAGUC
rnacentral:rRNA from 1 species